AGUCACAUCCAUAUCACCCUGCAGCUCAAGACCUGUUACUGAAACUAAGCAGGGCUGAGCCUAGUCAGUGCCUGGAUGGGAGACCACAUGGGAAAACUUGGUUGCUGUUGGAA
rnacentral:rRNA from 1 species